AGACCAAGUGAACAAGCUUUGCGCGGAUAUGCAAAGUGGCCUAGACGCUUGUAAGAAGGCGUCAACUAGUGCGGGUACUAGCACGAUUCUAGCGGCUCCAAGGAUCGACUAUCCAAAGCCUAGGGAGUUCGAUGGAAAGCGAGAUGCAAAAGAGCUAGAUGAUUUCCUAUGGCGAUUGGACAUAUAUUUUGAGGGCGUGAACAUUUUGGAUGAAGCUAUUAAGGUACGUACUUCGACUAUGUAUCUUACGGACACCGCGGCUCUAUGGUGGCGACGUAAGCACGCCGACAUAGAAAAUGGUGCUUGUAGGAUAGAUAGUUGGGAUGAUUUCAAGAAGGAAUUGAAACGCCAAUUUUAUCUCGAAAAUGUAGUAUACGAGGCCCGUAAAAAGCUUAGGGAGUUGAAACAUAAGGGCACUAUUCGCGAUUAUGUCAAAGAGUUUACUACCCUUGUGCUUCAAAUCCCGAGCAUGUCAGAUGAAGAUCUAUUGUUUCACUUUACCGACGGAUUGCAAAAUUGGGCGAAGCAAGAACUUCAACGUCGAGGAGUGAAGACAGUAGACGAGGCUAUUGUGGUGGCCGAAUCUUUAACCGAGUUCCAAAGGAGCACGGAUUCAUCAAAAUCUUCUAAAAGCUUUAAGAGUAACUCGGCUAAAGGCGGGGGAGAGAAGAAAGAUUACCAUAAGUCAUCAUUCUUCAAAGGUGGUAACACUUACAAACCUUCCCUCUCGCGAAAAAAUUAUGAGAAAAAGAAGAAGGUCUCGACGGGUUCUCAAAGUGGAUGCUUCGUGUGCAAGGGGCCACAUUUAAUGCGUGAUUGCCCUAAACUUAGCACAUUGGCGGCUAUGGCGGAGGAACGAGAUUCAUCCUCUUGCCAAGAUCAAAGGGCGGAACAUUUUAGUUCAUUGCAACUUCUUAACGCUCUCAAUGCUAAGGUCGUUCCGGCUUCCAAUAAUGAACGAGGAUUAAUGUAUGUGGAAGCUCAAGUAAAUAGUCGGCCCGCACUAGCAAUGGUGGAUACGGGAGCUACCAACAACUUCAUUACUGAAGAUGAGGCUAGAAGGUUGGGCCUCACAAUCACUAAAAGUGGUGGUCUUAUGAAAGCUGUGAAUUCUCCAUCCACGUCCCUUGGUGGCAUAGUUCGAGGAGUGGAAAUUCAAUUAGGCACUUGGCAUGGCCAAGUGGAUUUUUCGGUGGCUACAAUGGAUGAUUUUCGCUUGGUUCUCGGGUUGGACUUCAUGAGGAAGGUCAAUGCUAUUCCUAUGCCUUCCUUUGGCUCGGUUUGCAUCUUGGAGAGGGGUUCUCCAUGCAUGGUUCCUACGGUAGCUAGGACGAAAGCAAUAGGGCAGCUUUCGGCCAUGCAACUAGCAAAAGGGCUAAAGAAAGGAGAGGCGACGUAUUUGGCAGCAUGAAAAAUGGAGGACCAAGUUGAGGAAGUUGUGGGUGACGAUAAUGUGCCCGAAGUCAUCAAGAAUGUCCUUGAAGAAAAUAAGGACGUGAUGCCGCCGGAGUUACCCAAGAAAUUACCACCUAGGAGGGAGGUGGAUCAUAAGAUUGAGUUGGAACCGGGUGCCAAACCACCAUCCAUGGCACCCUAUCGGAUGGCACCGCCGGAGCUGGAAGAACUCCGUCGUCACGGACUUGCUAAUUUCCUCCAAGAACCGUGCGGCCUUAGUGUCUUCAACUUCCGCCCUCGCGGUUAUUACACUAAGUCAGCCUCCCGAUUGGCGUUGAUGUCUUAGAAAGGCACUAAGUAGAACACUUUAAGAAAGGGACAAUGAAGGAACACAAGAAUUUACAAAGAAGGCUUUGUAUUGAAUAAGAAUACUCUUUACAACUUCACUCUCUUAAUGCCUUCAAAUGAAUCCUACCAAGCUAUUUAUAGUAGUAGCCUCCUUAAAUGGAUGGCUAGGAUCUUUUUUAUCCAAUGGUCUAGAUUAUACAUCUAGAAUUAUCUAUACAAAUAUUUACAUUAAAAUAUUUAUGGACUAAACUAGGAUAAUCUAGAAUAAUCCACCAAGUGAGGAGCUUGUAGGCUUCUAGAACGUCCCACCAUAUUCUAACAAUCUUCAUGCACUUGUGGGAGUCUAGAAGAUUCCGAUUAGCCUCAAGUCGUCAACAUUUUAAAUUUCUCAAUCUUCUUGUGUCAAAAUCGAGCGAGUCGUGACAUUCUCCCUUGCCUAUUUGGGCGACACCCUCGCCGCCGCGUAAUGCUUUAGUUUGUCUUCGAACUGCCACAAGUCUUCUUGACUUUCCCACGUUGCUUCGGACUCGGGCAAUCCCUUCCACUUUAUCAAAAAUUGUUGGCAAGGAGGCACUCCACACCUUCGAACAAUGCGAUCUGCUAGAACCUCAUCAACCUCCUUGUCAAAUGACUUAGUCACAAUCGGAGGUGCCCGUUGUGACUCCCCUCGGCUAGGGUCUUCCAUGUCUUCAUGAUAUGGCUUCAACAUGCUCACAUGGAAGACGGGAUGAAUCUUUAAAGUGCUAGGUAGGUCAAGGCGAUAAGAUACCUUGCCAACCUUAGCUACCACCGGGAACGGCCCUUCAUAUCUCCGUACCAAGCCUUUGUGCACACUUCGGUACGCCUUGAAUUGUUGAGGUAAUAUUUUCACAAGGACUUGGUCGCCAACUUUAAAUUCCAAAGGCCGUCUCUUCUUAUCGGCCCACUUCUUCAUGCGCCUCCGUGCUUUGUUUAAACAAGAUCGUGCUAAGUCGGCAUGCUCUUCCCAUGACUUAGCCAUUUUGUAUGCUCCGGGG
rnacentral:lncRNA from 1 species